UACGUAGGGGGCAAGCGUUGUCCGGAUUUAUUGGGCGUAAAGAGCGUGUAGGCGGCCAGGUAGGUCUGCUGUGAAAACUCGAGGCUUAACCUCGAGCUGUCGGCGGAAACCAUCUGGCUAGAGUCCGGAAGAGGAGAAUGGAAUUCCCGGUGUAGCGGUGAAAUGCGCAGAUAUCGGGAAGAACACCCGUGGCGAAGGCGGUUCUCUGGGACGGACUGACGCUGAGACGCGAAAGCGUGGGGAGCGAACAGG
rnacentral:rRNA from 1 species